UCAUUCAAUCAGCUGACUUGCAAUCAAGCACUAUUCACUUUUGAAGCGCCACAAAGACAGUAGUUUGUAAAAGUGAUUGUGAUUGAUACAGAGAAAUUUAAAAAAUCAGCUGCAUACAACAUUUUUGCUGCCAUAUAAACUGUGACGCUCUCUAUUGAAAAUCCACUAUGACUUCACCAGCAAUUCAGGCAGCUGAUAAAGCUCAAAAAGCAUCGCGGCAAGCAUCUAAGCCAAAACCGUCGAAUACGUCACAGACGCACCAGCAAAGAAAUUUUCCAUCGCCGUCCAGUCUUUUCACCUGGAUAAGAAUAUUUCGAUUUGCUGAUUCUUUAAUUCGACAAGGAUGUUAAAAAAAUCAAAUGUUUCUGCUUCAAUAUUUUGAAACAGUUUAUUCCUUGAUUCAUUUAUUCUACAAAAUUAUUUUUUGAUUAAACAAAUACAAACAUUAGCACGUAGUUGACAAACUCUCUAUCAUAUAUGUUGAAUUAUUAAUUGAGCUGACUGAUCAACUCAGCUGGCACGGAUUAGCCAGCUAAUUGGUACAUUUCUAAUUUGUGACAACAAAAAUGUGUCUCUUCAACGUAUAUAUCAACGCAAAUAUAAGUAUCUAAAUACCAAAAUUGAAGAAUUUGCCAAUUAACUGCCUAAUUCGUUUCGACUGGUCUGAACAGUCAGCUAUUGUCUGAUAAAAACUAACAUUUUUCGUUUUGAGAAAAGCAAUAUAUCGUCAAAAAUAUGAA